rnacentral:rRNA from 1 species
UGAAGACUCUACUUGACUAGCUGAGAGGAGGUGCAUGGCCGUCGUCAGUUCGUACUGUGAAGCAUCCUGUUAAGUCAGGCAACGAGCGAGACCCACGCCAACAGUUGCCAGCUCGUCCUCCGGGGAUGGUGGGGACACUGUUGGGACCGCCUCUGCUAAAGAGGAGGAAGGAAUGGGCAACGGUAGGUCAGCAUGCCCCGAAUUAUCUGGGCUACACGCGGGCUACAAUGGGUGGGACAAUGGGUAUCGACACCGAAAGGUGAAGGCAAUCUCCUAAACCCAUCCGUAGUUCGGAUUGUGGGCUGCAACUCGCCCACAUGAAGCUGGAAUCUGUAGUAAUCGUGUCUCAAAAUGGCACGGCGAAUAUGUCCCUGCUCCUU